rnacentral:lncRNA from 1 species
UAAAUGGCUAACCUACAUGUAAUUUAUAUUAGGAAACAAAAGAACUAAAAAUGGGAAGGGGUGAGGUCCUACUAGAACAGCAAAGAAUGCAUAAGCGUCUUCUAAACUCCUUACCUGAUGGUGUUCUGUAUGCAGCCUCCUGUUUCUUUUAUUUCCUCUUUCAGUCAAAGAUAGAUAGCUCGCCACAGUUUGACUGGGGGCUGAGCUAUUUAUUUUCCAAGAGAGAGUUCUUUUAUGUCUCCCUCCUUUCGUUUCUUAAUUAUUAGAAUGCUGCACACGCCGACCUGAUAUGAAAAAGUUCCUGACUUCGGCAUCCACUGCACAAAGCAUAAUGGAUACAGGGAAAUUCUCUCAGCCCCAUUGGAUGGAUGGGCCUCUCCAAGUACAUUGAUAUAGGACAUUUCUAUUUAUUCAAGGAACAUGUGCAUACAAGCCAAGAAAGAAAAAACAAGAAGUCACUGGGAGAGCAAAGUAAGAAAACGUCAACAAGUAACCAACUUCACACUCGGAACACCGCAUGGAUGCAAGUCCAAGAGAGAUGCAGAGGAGCCACAAUCCAAAGACUUGAACGUCACAGACUGUCUCUCUAUAGAGACCAGCAAUGGGAGACUUGAACGUCACAGACUGUCUCUCUACAGAGACCAGCAAUGGGAAACCCGGCUCAGAACCAUGAAGAUAACACUGAGAGUCAAUCCCAACCCAGCUAGUGUGCGUCCUUCCUGUGGAUGGAUAUUAGAGGCCAUUAAGAAAUGUAAUAAAAUAAUCUCUUUUUUUGUACACACUGAAGUAAUAAACUAA